rnacentral:lncRNA from 1 species
GAGAGUCUGCAAAGGCACCGGAUCAACCACCAUCUUCAAUAAUGUCAAAAUGUCCCCAUACUGAUCAUCAAAAACCUUCUGAUUACGGUCUGUCACGAGAUUACCCAAUUCUUCCAAAGAUGUCAACGGCUCACGGUAGAAGCUAUAGGUGCAAGUCUUCCUUUUUAGCUCUGGGAUGGCUGCCAUCUCUCGACGCGAACAGACUCCUAAAUAAACCUGAGAAAUGAUAUGCAUGUGCAAGUUAGCUUUUUUCUCUUUCUUUUUUUUGCAUUAUUU